rnacentral:rRNA from 1 species
GCAUAUCAAUAAGCGGAGGAAAAGAAACCAACAGGGAUUGCCCUAGUAACGGCGAGUGAAGCGGCAACAGCUCAAAUUUGAAAUCUGGCUUCGGCCCGAGUUGUAAUUUGCAGAGGAAGCUUUAGGCGCGGCACCUUCUGAGUCCCCUGGAACGGGGCGCCAUAGAGGGUGAGAGCCCCGUAUAGUUGGAUGCCUAGCCUGUGUAAAGCUCCUUCGACGAGUCGAGUAGUUUGGGAAUGCUGCUCAAAAUGGGAGGUAAAUUUCUUCUAAAGCUAAAUACCGGCCAGAGACCGAUAGCGCACAAGUAGAGUGAUCGAAAGAUGAAAAGCACUUUGAAAAGAGGGUUAAAUAGCACGUGAAAUUGUUGAAAGGGAAGCGCUUGUGACCAGACUUGCGCCGGGCGGAUCAUCAGGUGUUCUCACCUGUGCACUCCGCCCGGCUCAGGCCAGCAUCGGUUCUCGCGGGGGGAUAAAGGCGUCGGGAACGUGGCUCCUCCGGGAGUGUUAUAGCCCGUCGCGCAAUGCCCUCGCGGGGACCGAGGUUCGCGCAUCUGCAAGGAUGCUGGCGUAAUGGUCAUCAGCGACCCGUCUUGAAACACGGACCAAGGAGUCAAGGUUUUGCGCGAGUGUUUGGGUGUAAAACCCGCACGCGUAAUGAAAGUGAACGUAGGUGAGAGCUUCGGCGCAUCAUCGACCGAUCCUGAUGUUUUCGGAUGGAUUUGAGUAGGAGCGUUAAGCCUUGGACCCGAAAGAUGGUGAACUAUGCUUGGAUAGGGUGAAGCCAGAGGAAACUCUGGUGGAGGCUCGCAGCGGUUCUGACGUGCAAAUCGAUCGUCAAAUCUGAGCAUGGGGGCGAAAGACUAAUCGAACCAUCUAGUAGCUGGUUACCGCCGA